CAUGGGCAACGGCGGCGGCGCCAACAUGGUCGCGGCUGGCUACACCAAGGGCGACGGCCUCGGCGCUGAGAUCGUCGGCACCUUCAUCCUCGUCUACACCGUCUUCUCCGCCACCGACGCCAAGAGGAACGCCAGGGACUCCCACGUCCCGGUGAGUGUUCAUAUCUAGUAAUCCUUGCUUGAUUGCUUGUUCAUGGGUGUCAAGGAUUCGAGGCUUGACAUGACGCUGGUUUCUUUGUUGGAUGAAACAGAUCCUUGCCCCGCUGCCAAUUGGGUUCGCCGUGUUCCUGGUCCACCUGGCCACCAUCCCCAUCACCGGCACCGGCAUCAACCCGGCGAGGAGCCUUGGCGCCGCCGUCAUCUACAACAGGCGCCAAGCCUGGGAUGACCACGUGAGUUCACUGACUGAGAACUGGUGCAACUUGGUUUAGCUAACUUUCACCUAGAAGUAUAAGAAGAUGAAGAGUAUGAACUGAGUUAAUUCAUACAAAUUCUGAAGUCUCCUUGAUUAGCUGAUGAAAUCUAAUUGCGAUGUCUGCUCUGAAAAACUAAUAAACAGAGAAGUUCACUCUGAUAGCUAGCUGAUGUAAAAUUGGGGAGUAACUCCGGGUAAAAUUAUGUUUAGAUGGAGUAGCCAACUGCUACCACUACUAGAAAUCAUUCAGUAGUUGAUUUCGAAAGGUUCCAAGCACUACAGGAUAAGCUCAUAGACAUUUGUUCUUUGUUUAAUUCUGGAAACCUUCCCUUGUCCGAAGGGAAAAAAACUGAGAGGCCUGCUUUAUUGCAGCAAGCAACCACUACCUACCAGGACAACGACCCUGCAUUAUCCACCCUCGCAUGCUAAGCCUUUCAUUAGCGUGAAAUAAUUCAGAGCGCUGACCAUAAUCAUUCAUUCCUGCCUUUGCAGUGGAUCUUCUGGGUCGGCCCCUUCAUCGGCGCUGCCCUGGCUGCCAUCUACCACCAGGUGGUCAUCAGGGCGAUCCCGUUCAAGAGCAGGUCUUAAGCUGCUGCUGCUGCUGUGUCCUGUGCUGUGAGAUGCCAGUCCAAACAGGCAAGCUGCUUCGGAUGGGGGUGUGUGGUCGCCUCCAAUCCUUGUUACUGUGUUGCUGUGGAGUUGUUCCAUUUCUCUUCAAGUUUGCUGU
rnacentral:lncRNA from 1 species